UGGCGUUUGCAUCCGCGAGGAAGGGAUCGUGCUGGUCGUCGGCUGCAGAUGUGUCCAGGCUCGACAACUUCAUAAACACCAUGUUGAUCUCGUUUAAGGUCUGCUUACCGUUGUAGAGCUUGUUGGAGCUGCCUUUGAGGAAGCACAAGCCCGUGCCGUCGUACUUGUACGCGGCUGCCAGGCACUUACAGUCUUGCAUGCAGGUGUCCUUGCACUUCUCGAGCGACUUGAUGGCCGAGUCGAAGUUGUAAUCGUUGAAGUAGUAGUCUGCUCGAUUCACCUGGACGAGCUUCACCGAGUUCGAGGAGUUUUGACAACCUCCCAGAGGUAUGUCGUAGUCACAUCCCUUCGAUUCGUCGUUUGGAUCAACUCGGUGAAAGCCAGGAGGACAGCUGCAAGUUUUUGUGGGCCUGUAGGUGCAGAGAGCGAAAGGUCCACAUGUUCCAGGACGUCGCACUCGUGCAUGACGGCUUGCCAGACGAUGCUCCAGGAGCCACUCUUGUUCUUCUAGAUCCUGAGAUUGCCAUCGUUGUCCAGCGUAAGUCUCCUCAACACAUUCCCAUCGUCAUAGUCAAGCGCGUAGGCUUGUGAACUCAUUGAUCCUGAUGCCCAACUCUUUCCAGUUGCGUCGUAAAAGGAAAGGACCCCUUGAGAGCUCAAGUUCAAGACGGCCGGGAACUUGAGAGAACGAUCAAGCUGUUCAAGACGUGCUCUCCGGUUUCGUCAUCCAGGCAAGUCAUGGUGGAGUUCAGUGUCGGAUUUGCAAUAGACCAGUACUUUUGCGGGACCUCCAGCUUUAAGUUCUUGAGCAGCACCUGACCACUGUUGAGAACAAGCUGGUAUGCUCCAGAUUGAGAAAUC
rnacentral:lncRNA from 1 species